rnacentral:misc_RNA from 1 species
AUUCAAGCUGCUUACGAGCUUCUUAUAGAUGCAGACGAACGGAGAAAAUAUGAUAAAGACAAUCGAGUAAACCCCAUGAAGGCAUCCGAAGCAUGGGUGGAGUGGCUAAUGAAAAAGCGAAAAGCAUUUGACCAACGGGGUGAUAUGGCCAUUGCUGCAUGGGCUGAACAGCAGCAGCUAGAACUAAAUCUGAAGGCCCGCCGCCUUGCUCGUUCAAAGAUGGAUCCCGAAGAAGAAAGGCGAAUCAUUGCUAAAGAGAGAAAGGCUUCUGUGGAGAAUUUUAAUAAUACGUUAAAGCGACAUACACUUGUCUUAAGGAAAAGAGACAUAAUGCGGCGAAAAUCAGAGGAAGAAAAGAAAAGAGUCAUUAGCAGGCUUCUGGCUGCCGAAGGUCUGGAGCUUGCAGAGGAGGACGAUAAGAAUCUAUAGAAGAUGCCCCGCAUAUUGGUCCGCCUCCACGCACCUGGUGAAGAAUACAGCAUCUUGGAAAGCUACUUCAGGUUAAAACAAUGUAUUGUGCAAUACAAG